UCCCCCUCUCCCCUCUCCCCUCCCCUCUCCUCUCCUCUCCUCCUGUCCUCCAGCUGCACUGUAAGCCACAGUGCAUGCCUCCCUGUUCCCUGGCCUCUCUAGCCACCAGCUCCUCGCCCUACAUGCCAGACGCUCUCCGACGUCAGCCCUCAGGACCUCCUUGCCACCUCCUCCUCUUCCUCCCCCACCGCGGGACCAGGAAUAACCACGCGCUGGGGCCAGACGCCGCGCUCCUUCCGGACUCCUGAUGGGAUGGAAAACGGACGGGUCAGAGGGAACGGUGGUGACUCGCUCACAGCCACUGAGGGAGUGGAAUGUCGCUGUGGCUUUGGACGGACACUCGUGCGGCUGCCUGGGAGGGGGAUCCAAUCCUGGUGGGAAUGCAUGAGGAUCCGUCCUGCAGCGCUGACCCCUCGCCACCUGUCUUUCUGCAGACGUUUCCAGAAGGAGAGAGGACGCUGAGAGGAAGCACAGAGUUCUGUACAGCUCCAGGAAGCUUUUGGAACGAGAGUACUGGUGUCUUACAGACUUACAAACUGUUUGUUUUCCAGGGUUUUGAGUCGGACAUCUUGGUUUCUGUUAAUUAGAACAACAAGGAGGUUCAGCUGAGGAGGGAAGUCAGCUGGCUCCACGCAGGGAGGGGGGUUCAACCAUCUGGGGGGUUCAGCUUCUAUCUAGGGGUUUGACAACACUGCUACUCAGCUGCGCCUGAUGCAGUCUAACCCCACAGUCUGGUGGAGAAGUUAUAUGUACGAAGAUAUUAAUAACAGAUGGAACCAAAAACAUUAUAUGCCAUGAAACUAUUUAUCAACUGAGACAGAGAAUCCUUAAGUUAAUAAAAUUAAACAGAUAAUGUGUAAAUAAUUCUGUAAAGUUCACAUUAAAUCGUUGUUGUAGGAGGAGAGGGUUUGAUUUAAAUAUAGGUUGGUUUAGAUGGUGUCCUACACAUUGCAGGGAUGUGGCAAACUUAAUAUUUGUGGUAGAUAACAUGACUUCCUGAGGAGGUUUUUUUUAAAUAAAUGAUUGAUAAAUUAACUUUUACAACAGAGUGAUCGGCUGCUGCAAUCUUCAAAUAAGAUACAAUUUUGUACAAAGAAAUACCUUUAAACAAUUGAAAUGGAAUUAAAUCUAAUAUUACAUUAUUACGUUUUUGCUCAUCAAAUUACAUAUCUGACAAAAAAUACACAUGCAAACACAUACACAUAGAGAUACUGUGAAAAAUCUGCCGAUGACAAUCCAAAGCAGCUCUUCCUCUUUCUAGCUCUUUCUCUCUGUCUCUCUCUCUUACUUGAUCUAUUGCUGUCUCUCUCUUACUUGGUCUCUCUCUAUCUAUCUCUCACUUACUUUCUAACUUUCUCUCCCACAGCUGCUGAACUACCUGUUUAUGUCAUCCUUGAUGCAAUGAAAUGAAAUGUAACUUAAUGUAAUGUAACAGACUUUAACUGAAUGUGCUAAAUGAGAGUUUUUGUUACGUAGGCUACCAUUGUUUUAGCAACGCUAACAUUUUGGGACUCUCGUCGUGAAGAACCCAUUUUUUUUAUAGACAAGCAGGGAAUGGUUGUGUUAUUUAAAUAUGUUUAGUUUUAUUGUGACCUGUGGUUGAUAGUAGAACUGAGCUUGUGUUAAAGUAAAAUAGUUGUUGCUUGUUAACACACAAGAUUACUCAAGGAUUAACUCGUUCUUGUUCAUUUUCGUAACCAAUAAAAACCAAUAUGGAAUCAGCUUGUUUCUAAAUUUGCAUAAUGGUUGUUUGUUUCUUCCAGUCCAGUUUAAAUCACGUUGUCUUAACAAAUAGUUUGAUGAAUAAAAAUCGAAUAACGUUUUUA